AGAGUUUGAUCCUGGCUCAGGAUGAACGCUGGCGGCGUGCCUAAUACAUGCAAGUCGAGCGAACGGACGAGAAGCUUGCUUCUCUGAUGUUAGCGGCGGACGGGUGAGUAACACGUGGAUAACCUACCUAUAAGACUGGGAUAACUUCGGGAAACCGGAGCUAAUACCGGAUAAUAUUUUGAACCGCAUGGUUCAAAAGUGAAAGAGGGUCUUGCUGUCACUUAUAGAUGGAUCCGCGCUGCAUUAGCUAGUUGGUAAGGUAACGGCUUACCAAGGCAACGAUGCAUAGCCGACCUGAGAGGGUGAUCGGCCACACUGGAACUGAGACACGGUCCAGACUCCUACGGGAGGCAGCAGUAGGGAAUCUUCCGCAAUGGGCGAAAGCCUGACGGAGCAACGCCGCGUGAGUGAUGAAGGUCUUCGGAUCGUAAAACUCUGUUAUUAGGGAAGAACAUAUGUGUAAGUAACUGUGCACAUCUUGACGGUACCUAAUCAGAAAGCCACGGCUAACUACGUGCCAGCAGCCGCGGUAAUACGUAGGUGGCAAGCGUUAUCCGGAAUUAUUGGGCGUAAAGCGCGCGUAGGCGGUUUUUUAAGUCUGAUGUGAAAGCCCACGGCUCAACCGUGGAGGGUCAUUGGAAACUGGAAAACUUGAGUGCAGAAGAGGAAAGUGGAAUUCCAUGUGUAGCGGUGAAAUGCGCAGAGAUAUGGAGGAACACCAGUGGCGAAGGCGACUUUCUGGUCUGUAACUGACGCUGAUGUGCGAAAGCGUGGGGAUCAAACAGGAUUAGAUACCCUGGUAGUCCACGCCGUAAACGAUGAGUGCUAAGUGUUAGGGGGUUUCCGCCCCUUAGUGCUGCAGCUAACGCAUUAAGCACUCCGCCUGGGGAGUACGACCGCAAGGUUGAAACUCAAAGGAAUUGACGGGGACCCGCACAAGCGGUGGAGCAUGUGGUUUAAUUCGAAGCAACGCGAAGAACCUUACCAAAUCUUGACAUCCUUUGACAACUCUAGAGAUAGAGCCUUCCCCUUCGGGGGACAAAGUGACAGGUGGUGCAUGGUUGUCGUCAGCUCGUGUCGUGAGAUGUUGGGUUAAGUCCCGCAACGAGCGCAACCCUUAAGCUUAGUUGCCAUCAUUAAGUUGGGCACUCUAAGUUGACUGCCGGUGACAAACCGGAGGAAGGUGGGGAUGACGUCAAAUCAUCAUGCCCCUUAUGAUUUGGGCUACACACGUGCUACAAUGGACAAUACAAAGGGCAGCGAAACCGCGAGGUCAAGCAAAUCCCAUAAAGUUGUUCUCAGUUCGGAUUGUAGUCUGCAACUCGACUACAUGAAGCUGGAAUCGCUAGUAAUCGUAGAUCAGCAUGCUACGGUGAAUACGUUCCCGGGUCUUGUACACACCGCCCGUCACACCACGAGAGUUUGUAACACCCGAAGCCGGUGGAGUAACCUUUUAGGAGCUAGCCGUCGAAGGUGGGACAAAUGAUUGGGGUGAAGUCGUAACAAGGUAGCCGUAUCGGAAGGUGCGGCUGGAUCACCU
rnacentral:rRNA from 1 species